AGCAGUAGCCGCGGUAAAACGUAGGUGGCAAGCGUUGUCCGGAAUUAUUGGGCGUAAAGCGUGCGCAGGUGGUCUAAUAAGUCUGAAGUUAAAGGCUGUGGCUUAACCAUAGUAUGCUUUGGAAACUGUUUAACUUGAGUGCAGGAGGGGAGAGUGGAAUUCCAUGUGUAGCGGUGAAAUGCGUAGAUAUAUGGAGGAACACCGGUGGCGAAAGCGGUUCUCUGGUCUGUAACUGACGCUGAGGCUCGAAAGCGUGGGGAGCAAACAGGAUUAGAUACCCCGGUAGUCCCUGUCUCUUAUACA
rnacentral:rRNA from 1 species